UGUAUUUAUUAGAUAAAAAACCAACGCCCUUCGGGGCUCCUUGGUGAAUCAUAAUAACUUAACGAAUCGCAUGGCCUUGCGCCGGCGAUGGUUCAUUCAAAUUUCUGCCCUAUCAACUUUCGAUGGUAGGAUAGUGGCCUACCAUGGUGGCAACGGGUAACGGGGAAUUAGGGUUCGAUUCCGGAGAGGGAGCCUGAGAAACGGCUACCACAUCCAAGGAAGGCAGCAGGCGCGCAAAUUACCCAAUCCCGAUACGGGGAGGUAGUGACAAUAAAUACUGAUACGGGGCUCUUUCGGGUCUCGUAAUUGGAAUGAGAACAAUUUAAAUCCCUUAACGAGGAACAAUUGGAGGGCAAGUCUGGUGCCAGCAGCCGCGGUAAUUCCAGCUCCAAUAGCGUAUAUUAAAGUUGUUGCAGUUAAAAAGCUCGUAGUUGAACCUUGGGUCUGGCUGGCCGGUCCGCCUCACCGCGAGUACUGGUCCGGCCGGACCUUUCCUUCUGGGGAACCUCAUGGCCUUCACUGGCUGUGGGGGGAACCAGG
rnacentral:rRNA from 1 species